rnacentral:rRNA from 1 species
UAGGGAAUCUUCCGCAAUGGACGAAAGUCUGACGGAGCAACGCCGCGUGAGUGAUGAAGGUUUUCGGAUCGUAAAGCUCUGUUGUUAGGGAAGAACAAGUGCCGUUCGAAUAGGGCGGCACCUUGACGGUACCUAACCAGAAAGCCACGGCUAACUACGU